AUUGAACGCUGGCGGAAUGCUUUACACAUGCAAGUCGAACGGCAGCACGGGGGCAACCCUGGUGGCGAGUGGCGAACGGGUGAGUAAUACAUCGGAACGUGCCCGGUCGUGGGGGCUAACGUAGCGAAAGUUACGCUAAUACCGCAUACGAUCUGAGGAUGAAAGCGGGGGACCUUCGGGCCUCGCGCGAUCGGAGCGGCCGAUGUCGGAUUAGGUAGUUGGUGGGGUAAAGGCCUACCAAGCCGACGAUCUGUAGCUGGUCUGAGAGGACGACCAGCCACACUGGGACUGAGACACGGCCCAGACUCCUACGGGAGGCAGCAGUGGGGAAUUUUGGACAAUGGGCGCAAGCCUGAUCCAGCCAUUCCGCGUGCAGGACGAAGGCCUUCGGGUUGUAAACUGCUUUUGUAUGGAACGAAAAGGCUCUGGCUAAUACCUGGGGCUCAUGACGGUACCGAAAGAAUAAGCACCGGCUAACUACGUG
rnacentral:rRNA from 1 species